AUUGAACGCUGGCGGCAGGCCUAACACAUGCAAGUCGAGCGGAGCGGCGGACGGGUGAGUAAUGCCUAGGAAUCUGCCUGGUCGUGGGGGCUAGCGUCCGGAAACGGACGCUAAUACCGCAUACUAUCAGAUGAGCCUAGGUCGGAUUAGCUAGUUGGUGGGGUAAAGGCCUACCAAGGCGACGAUCCGUAACUGGUCUGAGAGGAUGAUCAGUCACACUGGAACUGAGACACGGUCCAGACUCCUACGGGAGGCAGCAGUGGGGAAUAUUGGACAAUGGGCGAAAGCCUGAUCCAGCCAUGCCGCGUGUGUGAAGAAGGUCUUCGGAUUGUAAAGCACUUUCAGUUGGGAGGCGUUACCAACAGAAUAAGCACCGGCUAACUUCGUGCCAGCAGCCGCGGUAAUUC
rnacentral:rRNA from 1 species